CCCGCUUAUUUAGUAGUAUUAGACUCCACUGCACAGGACCGCAGGGGAUUAGUGUUAUGGCUUUUAGAUUGCGAGGACAAGACCCGGCACGGACUUUCCGACCCGAUUGGAGACGCUGCUCUCCCAAACGGACGGGCAAUGGAACGACGUAAUCUCGGCUGUCGACGACGACGACGAAUUGGAGGAAAACCCGGACGGCGAGGAUUUAGAGGAGGAGGCGGGAGAGUUGUUCUGGGUGUUGUUUCCGAGGCGCGUGACGGUGAGGGAAGUGUUGAAGUACU
rnacentral:lncRNA from 1 species